UACAGAGGGUGCAAGCGUUAAUCGGAUUUACUGGGCGUAAAGGGCGCGUAGGUGGUUGUGUAAGUGAGAUGUGAAAUCCCCGGGCUUAACCUGGGAACUGCAUCUUAUACUGCAUAGCUGGAGUACAAUAGAGGGUAGUGGAAUUUCCGGUGUAGCGGUGAAAUGCGUAGAGAUCGGGAAGAACGCCGGCGGCGAAAGCGACUCUCUGGUCGGAUCCUGACGCUGAGGCGCGAAAGCUAGGGGAGCAAACGGG
rnacentral:rRNA from 1 species